GACGAACGCUGGCGGCGUGCCUAAUACAUGCAAGUUGAGCGCUGAAGGUUGGUACUUGUACCAACUGGAUGAGCAGCGAACGGGUGAGUAACGCGUGGGGAAUCUGCCUUUGAGCGGGGGACAACAUUUGGAAACGAAUGCUAAUACCGCAUAAAAACUUUAAACACAAGUUUUAAGUUUGAAAGAUGCAAUUGCAUCACUCAAAGAUGAUCCCGCGUUGUAUUAGCUAGUUGGUGAGGUAAAGGCUCACCAAGGCGAUGAUACAUAGCCGACCUGAGAGGGUGGUCGGCCACAUUGGGAAUGAGACACGGCCCAAACUCCUACGGGAGGGAGCAGUAGGGAAUCUUCGGCAAUGGACGGAAGUCUGACCGAACAACGCCGCGUGAGGGAAGAAGGUUUUCGGAUCGUAAAACUCUGUUGGUAGGGAAGAACGUUGGUGAGAGUGGAAAGCUCAUCAAGUGACGGUAACUACCCAGAAAGGGACGGCUAACUACGUG
rnacentral:rRNA from 1 species